rnacentral:tRNA from 1 species
UGGGGGAUGGUGUAAUCGGCAACACAAUAGACUCUGGAUCUAUCGUUCCAGGUUCGAGCCCUGGUCCCCCAGCCA